GACGAACGCUGGCGGCGUGCUUAACACAUGCAAGUCGAACGGAAAGGCCCUGCUUUUGUGGGGUGCUCGAGUGGCGAACGGGUGAGUAACACGUGAGUAACCUGCCCUUGACUUUGGGAUAACUUCAGGAAACUGGGGCUAAUACCGGAUAGGAGCUCCUGCUGCAUGGUGGGGGUUGGAACGUUUCGGCGGUUGGGGAUGGACUCGCGGCUUAUCAGCUUGUUGGUGGGGUAGUGGCUUACCCAGGCUUUGACGGGUAGCCGGCCUGAGAGGGUGACCGGCCACAUUGGGACUGAGAUACGGCCCAGACUCCUACGGGAGGCAGCAGUGGGGAAUAUUGCACAAUGGGCGGAAGCCUGAUGCAGCAACGCCGCGUGCGGGAUGACGGCCUUCGGGUUGUAAACCGCUUUCGCCUGUGACGAAGCGUGAGUGACGGUAAUGGGUAAAGAAGCACCGGCUAACUACGUG
rnacentral:rRNA from 1 species